rnacentral:lncRNA from 1 species
AUGGCUCCCCAGUGCGCUCACACCUGUGAACCAACGAGGCGCGCAGGGGAGAUCAGGAAAAGCCGGUUUCCUGGCUGCGCUGGCAUUUGCUCAAAGGAACGUGAAACUCAAGACUCUCAUGGUGUUCAUUUAAUAUCGAACAGAAACGCUGGCGAGGAUGUGGUGGAAGACAGCGGAAUGGGAGGAAGACACGCAGCCUCCCUUCGAAUCCUGCGUGUCCAAACCAGCCUGAAGUCGCUCUGGGUGCCCAUGUUUGGAGUGGUUCCCGUGAGCAGUCAGGCCCGCGAGACAGCUCUGGGACAGCGCUUCUCCAAACUUCACUGUGCGGUCACUCAGAUCGUCUGGGGAUCUCACCAACAUCUGGUUCAGGAGACCUGGGAGCACUUGGUCUGCAUCUCGGGGGUGUUCUACAUUAGGAGCAAGGGCUCCCUGCUCCCAGGUGCCCAGAGACCAACACCGUGGCACCAGCUUCCGAGAAAAGAGACGCUGUGUCUGCAAGGCUGA